rnacentral:rRNA from 1 species
GACAGAGGGGGCGAGCGUUGUCCGGAGUGACUGGGCGUACAGCGCGCGCAGGCGGACCCGAACGUGCCAUGUAACAGCCCUGCGCUCACCGCAGGGUGGCCAUGGUAGACGUCGGGUCUGGAGGCAGGGAGAGGGAUGUGGAAUACCCGGUGGAGCGGUGAAAUGCGUAGAGAUCGGGUGGAACACCAGUGGCGAAGGCGGCAUCCUGGCCCUGACCUGACGCUGAGGCGCGAGAGCGUGGGGAGCAAAC